AGCGAACGCUGGCGGCAGGCCUAACACAUGCAAGUCGAACGAACCCUUCGGGGUUAGUGGCGGACGGGUGAGUAACACGUGGGAACGUGCCUUUAGGUUCGGAAUAACUCAGGGAAACUUGUGCUAAUACCGAAUGUGCCCUUCGGGGGAAAGAUUUGUCGCCUUUAGAGCGGCCCGCGUCUGAUUAGCUGGUUGGUGAGGUAAUGGCUCACCAAGGCUACGAUCAGUAGCUGGUCUGAGAGGAUGACCAGCCACAUUGGGACUGAGACACGGCCCAAACUCCUACGGGAGGCAGCAGUGGGGAAUCUUGCGCAAUGGGCGAAAGCCUGACGCAGCCAUGCCGCGUGGAUGAUGAAGGUCUUAGGAUUGUAAAAUCCUUUCACCGGUGAAGAUAAUGACUGUAGCCGGAGAAGAAGCCCCGGCUAACUUCGUGCCAGCAGCCGCCGUAAGAC
rnacentral:rRNA from 1 species